UCCCUCUGUAUCUCUCGUCUCGCAUCUCUACUAUCUACGAUCUCACCACAUCUCUUCUUCCAUAUUUGGCCAACUCAUUUUUCUCUCUCGGUUUCAUUUCUUCAUGAAGAUAAAAGAAAAGUGGGCAGAAGCACUUGAAAGUUUGGAUGAUGGAGUCCUAGGAUCGGAUAAGAGCUUUGGCAUGAAGCAAAGGCCAGAUGGUGAUAUUGAAAUCGAUGAAAAAUAUUGGAAGAAUGAUUUCUGUAUUCCAACCUGCCAAAAGUGCAACGGAGUGCUCAAACCUGAUGAAAGGGAAAGGUCUUUAAUAACACUAAAGUGAAGCAUAGAGUGAAGUAUGAUUAUUCGAUUAGUAACAAGCUAGCAGAUAUGAUGAUUAUUCAUGGAGGAAAUAUGGCCAAAAGCCAAUCAAGGGUUCUCCACACCCA